UACGGAGGGUGGCAAGCGUUGUUCGGAAUCAUUGGGCGUAAAGCGCGUGUAGGCGGCUUGGCAAGUCAGUUGUGAAAGCCCGGGGCCCAACCCCGGAAUUGCAUCUGAAACUGCCUAGCUAGAGUCCCGGAGAGGAAGGCAGAAUUCCCGGUGUAGGGGUGAAAUCCGUAGAUAUCGGGAGGAAUACCAGCGGCGAAGGCGGCCUUCUGGGACGGUGGACUGACGCUGAGACGCGAAAGCGUGGGGAGCAAACAGG
rnacentral:rRNA from 1 species